rnacentral:rRNA from 1 species
UACGUAGGGUGCAAGCGUUGUCCGGAUUUAUUGGGCGUAAAGAGCUCGUAGGCGGUCUGUCGCGUCGGAUGUGAAAACCCAGGGCUCAACCCUGGGCCUGCAUUCGAUACGGGCAGACUAGAGUGUGGCAGGGGAGACUGGAAUUCCUGGUGUAGCGGUGAAAUGCGCAGAUAUCAGGAGGAACACCGGUGGCGAAGGCGGCUCUCUGGUCUGUAACUGACGCUGAGGCUCGAAAGCGUGGGGAGCAAACAGG